GUUGUCUUGAAAGCACCUUAAAUGCAGAGAAUGCCAGACUUUGAUGACAAAGUUUGAUGACCAAAUUUGCCCACAAGGACUGCCGCACCACCUUCCUUUUCAAGUGAGCACAGCAUAACAAGGUCCGGGGUGAGCAGUAUGUCCUGCGCCGCCGACUCGUUGAAGUAAAAAUAUGAAUCCAAAGUGAGAGACAGAGAGCUGUGUGAUGAAAGACCCAGAGAACUACUUCUGCACGGGAAAAAAUGAAGACCUAGCAACCCUGCAAAAUUAUCCACCAAGAGACGUCUCUCAUCAAUUCACCUGACUUCAUUCACAGCGGGAAGGACUGAUGCAGGGAGUUAUAGGGCAGGAAGUGAGAGAGGGAGGGAGGAGAAGAGUUCAAUAGGACCCCAAGGCUGGAGAUACAGAAGAGCUUUACAUGAGAAUCAUGCAGGGCCAUAGCAACAUAU